UGUGCAGUUUUUGAAAGUAGACGUUGAGCUAUAUUACAACAACAUACAUUUUGAUUUAAAUCUUUCAGAUGGCAGGCUUAGUGAAAGCAGGGAAUGUUGCUUAUUUGUCAACUGGAAACCCAAAUCCUUUCUCCAGGACCUGGUAAAAGGCAAGUGCUGGUAAAUGCUUGUGUGAGAAUGAAUUGUGAGUUUGUUAAUAUGUAAAGGGCACUUACAUAAGGAAGGCUGAAGUUCUUGAAUUUGAUAGGAGCCUAAAUUCUAACUCGACCUCAGCUUUGCAUUUUUGGGCCCCAUGACACUAAAUUUUUGUCUUAAGUGUCCAAUGGAUAAGCAAAUUGGCUUUUAAAUAGGAUUUUCACUUUUGUCCCCUUGUCCUCUUUCAGUUCUCAAUGUUCUAUGCCAAGAUGAGCCAAAUCCACAGCCAGUUCUCUCCGCUGCUGUUGAAACCAGGGACAUUGACUCUGCAUGGUUUGCAGAUAACACAAUUUCAUUUUUAAAAACUUCUAGCCAGUCAAUUCUGCCAAGUCUGUGGAGGGUGAAUCCAAGAUUUCAUGGCUGAAAUGAAGCUUCAGCCUGAAAGCUGGGCCUGUGAGAGUCCAUAUUGGAAACACGGGUGAGCUGGGAGUCAGGUGUUUCUUGAAUCCCUACCAGUGCUGCCUUGGCCCAUUGAUCAGAUCCUUGGGUCAAGAAAGUUACUUCUCUCUCUUUAUCUCUAUCUCUCUUCCUUUCUCUCCUUCUCUUCCUCCAUCGUCUGACUACCUUUCCCUCUCCCUUUAAGAUUCAGGUGCUGCCUGAGGGCUUCUGGAGUCCAGAGCCCCUCCUGGCCCCACUCCAGAGUGUACUGUUAUCACAACACUUUCUAGAUUGUCUUCAGCUAAGUCAGGCCCCCCCUACCACCAGCUGUGAGUUCCUUAAGACUAGAGACAGCACUGGCUGUUUGCAUGUUUACAAUUGUGUACAUCUGCACAGUGUCUGGUUUUCAUGUGUUUUCAGUUUAGAUUAAGGCACAGGCGGGAGUCCUUCUAAUUGUAGCGGCCAAUUAGAAGAUUGACAGGGUUAAUCUAGAGACACUUCCUAGGGGAAGGGAUUCCAGAUGGAAGAAUAAAAAUUCCAAUACAACCAAAUCAAAUAUUUCAGGAUUGAAGAGGAAGAUGCAGACCUUUCUGUACAGCCCUGAUAAGGGCAGAUAAUCAGGGUGGAGCUGUUUGAUGGUCCUUAAUCCCUGAUUCUCUAUGCUGAAUAGAAGUAGAAGCAGAAGAAUAAGCACCUCUACCCUUUGGAUACACUCAUUUUAUUUCAUAGCAGAGAUUCCUUAUACCAUCUCCCUCAUUCACCCCCUACAAUUCUUUGUUGUUGUUGUUCUUCAUUAAUUGCAGUAAAACUGGUUCUCAAAGCUUCCCCAGGCUACCCAAAUCAUCAAAGCCAAGAUUUUCUCAGUUUUGAUGAUAAAAUCAUAGCUAUCAUUUCGUUGACACCUUAUUCUCUGCCAGGCACAGCUAAAUUCUUUACAGACAUCACAUUUCAUUGCUACAGGAAGCAGCUUUUCUUAGCAUUUAUCACAAUUUUACAUUUUGAAUUUAUAGCAUGUAAUAGUAUGUUUGCUGAUGUCAAAAGAAAAUAGGCACAAACAGUAAUUGGUCAUGGAUAAGGAUAGAAUAUUAUCAUGUCUGAUGAUGAAUCCAAGGCUCUGAGAGCUCAAGAUAACAGAGCUAACAGGUGGAGCUGCGUUUGAAGUCCGUGCUGCGAAGUCUCGAAAGUUCACCUGUGCUGAAUCAGCAGCGAUGGCAGCUGCUUCUCAGUUGCCCUCACACCCUACUAAGAUAGCAGAGCCCAGCAGGGAAAAGAAAGACUCCACCUUGAGCAGAUCAGUCUUGUAAAGAAGCGAACAUUGUACCAAGUGAAGAGCAGAGAUGGAAAACCUGGGUCUUUGAUUCCACAUAUAAGUGAUAUACGGUAUUUUUCUUUCUCUUUCUGGCUUACUUCACUUAGAAUGACAAUCUCCAGGUUCAUCCAUGUUGCUGCAAAUGGCCUUAUUUUAUUAUUUUUUAUGGCUAAGUAGUAUCCCAUCAUAUAAAUAUACCACAGACUCUUUGUCCAGUCAUCUGUCGAUGGACAUUCAGAUUGUUUCCAUGUCUUGGCUAUUGUAAAUAGUGCUGCUGUGAACAUUGGAGUGCGUGUAUCUUUUUGAAUUAAGGUUCCCUCUGGAUAUAUGCCCAGGAGUGGGAUUGCUGGAUCAUAUGAGAAAACUACUAAAAGGGAAUAAAGAGAACUCUAAAGAAUACCCCAGGGCUGAUGGAGUCCAAGGAAGGGGGUCCUCCCUAAGUCUGGGACUCAGCCCUCUUUGGGCUGGUUGCCCACUGGACGGUGGAGAAGUUUACUGGGUGCCCAGGCCACAGUGGUCUACAGUCAGCAAGCUGAGGCUUCCGGGCAGGUACUGUGGGGCUGGGACUCACCAGCUGGAAGCCUCCUGCAGUGGUGCCAGUCAGCUGAGACUAGGUGGUAGGACGCUGCCUGCUGGGAUGCUGAUGACAUUUGCUUGGAGGCUGCCUGUGGAUGUUGCUGUUGAACUGGCUGAGAAGCUGGCUGGAUACUGGCUGGACUCAACCAGAAACCUGCCAGGAAGUCACCUGAAAGAGGUGUUAUUGAACUCUCUGGGCACCCUCAGAACCCAGCUGAAUCCACCCAUGAGGAUGUGCCACGGAACUUACUGAUGUGAAGCUAGCUGGAGUGACUGAAGAACUCUCCAGAGGCUGCUGCCUGGAGAUGGGGAGAUGCCGGUGAACUCAGCUAAGAUGCUCCUGGAACUUACCUGCAAACUGCCUUAGGAGGUGCCGCUGCACUCAACUGCUGCAAAUCCUACUGGGGAACUUUUGGAACCCACUGAAGACUUCUGCAGGGGUACCGCUGAAACUCACUGAAGGUGAACUCCUCUGGAUGUCCUGCACGCUAGCCCAGCAUUGCAGGAGCUAGAAUGCUGGCAUGCACACAGGAACUUGGAAGAGAACCCUACCUCCUGCAGCGUCCCUCUAGCGCCCUCUACUGACAAAGCUUAACAUUAUGCCAUCUGGAAAGAAAUAUUUCAGUAUCCCAAGCAGGCAAAGAACGAUGGAUUUGGAGCUGAGAAGCAAUAAAUUAAUGACUGAUUGGCAUGGGGCUUUUGUCAAAAUCACUGCUCUAUUUUAAAAUUACCUCUUUACUUUGCU